AAGUGGUAACCAGAGAGAGAGACAGGGAACAAGCAGAGCAUGGAUUGAGUUUUUACCAAAACAUCAAAUGACUAUGUUUGGUCUCUUCCCAUGCACUGCCUCUUCCCUGGCUCCCUUUUUCUUUGUCUCC
rnacentral:pre_miRNA from 2 species